AAGUCGUAACAAGGUUUCCGUAGGUGAACCUGCGGAAGGAUCAUUAUCACGUAUCCACGUAUAAACCAUUGUGAACCGUUCUUAACCUCUGCAAAACCGAAAGAAUUUGUCAUGUAAUAGUGAUGGGUUUUUUUCGGCUAGUAACAGAGCGUAUUUAUCUAUUAACCAUUUUAACCAAUCUUUAUAACUUUAUGAACUAACUUUAUUUUAUACUCUUAGGAGAUAAAAUUCAUUACGAAACAAAGAACAACUCUUAGCAACGGAUAUCUUGGUUCUC
rnacentral:misc_RNA from 1 species